ensembl:lincRNA
GGGCAGGUGAUCAUCAGAGCAAGAAUUAUUUGUCGUGAGGUUCUGUGCAACAUCAAGCCUGGGUCACAGAACCAGUUGUGGGCUUCCAGGUGAUGAGUGUAAGGAGGGACCACGUUCAGGUUCAUAGGUCAUAUGACUUUGAGGGGGCGUUUCCUGGAUGUUCCCCACAUCAGAGAGAACUCUGAGCUCAAGGCUGCUUUUUCAGGAAGAAGCAGUGAGUAGCAACAUCUGGAGCAAGACUUUGCCUAGAUCAUUUGUAGCUAAAUCUUUUGACAAAGAGGGUUUCCACCUAACCUCACGACAGAAUCAAUAACUAAACAGUAACUUGCAAUCCCCACUUCCAUAAAGACAGAGAGCAGGAGGCUAGGCUUAGCACAGGCAGGACAUUCUGGAUGUGAAGGCUGGUCCGCCUCCCCUUGACCCUUGACCCUUCACAUCCAGGCUCCAGAGGCUCAAACCUCCAGGGCAGGCAGCCACAGAUGGUGAAGGUCCGGAAGGUUUCAGUCUCAUCAAGACAAGGCGUUUUCCUCUCGAUUGUCAUUUCUGGGCAUACAAUGUUGUAAUGGUGGUCAGAGCAACUUGUGACCUCCCACUGUCUGUGUCAUGUGGGUCGCUCAGAAAAUCCAGGAGCUGGAGGCCACACUGUACAAUGCGCUGCAACAGGAGCCGGGGCGGAGGGCCAGCGAGGCGCUGAGCGAGGGCCAGCGGGAGGACCUGCAGCCGCCGUGGAGAAGCUGCGCCGGCAGAUCCUGCGGCAGAGCCGGGAGUUUGACAGUCAGAUCCUGCGGGAGCGCAUGGAGCUGCUGCAGCAGGCCCAGCAGGAGAAACUUGGUUCCCUCCAAUGAGUGUGGGUAUGAUAUGAAGAUCUGCUCAAAGCCAACAGUAAGUGAUAAAAUGUCUCUGAAAGGAUCCUGGUCCCAUCACUUCAUGGGAAAUAGACAGGGAAACAGUGGAAACAGUGUCAGACUUUAUUUUUUGCGGCUCCAAAAUCACCGCAGAUGGUGACUGCAGCCAUGAAAUUAAAAGACGCUUACUCCUUGGAAGAAAAGUUAUGACCAACCUAGAUAGCAUAUUCAAAAGCAGGGACAUUACCUUGCUGACUAAGGUCCAUCUAGUCAAGGCUAUGGUUUUUCCUGUGGUCAUGUAUGGAUGUGAGAGUUGGACUGUGAAGAAAGCUGAGCACCGAAGAAUUGAUGCUUUUGAACUGUGGGGUUGGAGAAGACUCUUGAGAGUCCCUUGGACUGCAAGGAGAUCCAACCAGUCCAUUCUGAAGGAGAUCAGCCCUGGGAUUUCUUUGGAAGGAAUGAUACUGAAGCUGAAACUCCAGUACUUUGGCCACCUCAUGUGAAGAGUUGACUCACUGGAAAAGACUCUGAUGCUGGGAAGGAUUGGGGGCAGUAGGAGAAGGGGAUGACAGAGGAUGAGAUGUCUGGAUGGCAUCACUGACUCGAUGGACAUGAGUCUGAGUGAACUCCGGGAGAUGGUGAUGAACAGGGAGGCUUGGCGUGCUGCGAUUCAUGGGGUCGCAAAGAGUCGGACACGACUGAGCGACUGAACUGAACUGAACUGAACUGAUGCCUAAGACUCUUCGAUUAUAGGAUAUGGAAUUGAAAUUAAUGUGACAUGUUUCACAUAAAUGAGCAGAUCUAAGAUUAGAAGUAUGUCAUGAUUUAAAGACUACUCCAAAUUUGUUUUUAGGCUACAUCAAUCUUUCAAGGUUCCUGAGUUAAAAAAACACAUAGUCUAGUUAGUUUAAGCAAAAAAAAAAAAAAGUUUUAUUAAAGGUUUUAAGUAGUUCUCAGAAUCUUAGUGAGGACAAGAGAAUCAACCAUGGAUGCUCUGAGACUGGGAGCCACGUGCAGGUUACAUAGGAGGAUGGCUCUAGAGGAUACCCCGCUGUCCCUGUCUCCCAGGGUCCAGGCAGCCCGUCUCCCACCCCAGUGCUAGAAACGAAAGGCUCCUGCUAGGACCUCUGGCCAUGGCCUCUAGAAGGCGCUGCUUCUCCGUCUGCCUGUCAUGAUGGCGUCUGUAAGAUACCUUGCUCACUUCCCCAUGGAGUUCUCAGUCAGGUGGGUCUGAUUGGCAGAAUCUGGACCCUACAUCCUCAAAUCUAAGGUGCCAAAAGAGUUUAUGACUUCUCUGGAGAGCAGACUCUUGAAUUAGUACAUUCUCCAAAUACGAAAUGAGCCCAAAGGUAAUGAGUAGCCAAAUAACAUGACGAAUGCCCGCUUCAGUGAAGCAGUAUGACCUCAGCUUCCCCUCCAUGCCUGGGGAGAGUGAGUCAUGCGUUGCCAGCGUAGUUAAUGCUCCAUGGGGCAGACUCAUGACCAGCGGGAAAGUGAGGAGUGGGAAAGAGCUAACAGAUCAAUUCCUUCCCUUUCCCUUCCCCUGAUUGGCUGCCUUGCGAUGCAGUAGCUUAUCUGGUCUUACUGAACACAUCCCAUGAGAUGGAGCUUAACUCUACGUGUUACCAACCACAGGCGCACUCCAGCCUCCCUCACUACACUUCCCCUCACUGUCGCUUUCCUGACAUGGCUUCUCCUUAGAAAGUGGCAGCUCAUCAGCUUUUCCUGUAGGCUUCUUGCAACCCAGCCUACAAGAGCAUCUCUUGCAGAUGCAAUAUAGUCUCACUAGAGUCAAUUAUUUUCUCUAGAAAACUGGUAAUAGCAGCUUGUGCUGAUUUGUAAACCUGUGUUUCCUGUAACUGUUGCUCAUUUUGAAACUUUUCUAUUAUCUCUAUUUUUUUUCUCAUGUGCCAAAAAAAAAAAAAAAAAAAGGAAUUAUUCACUGGGUGGGGUUGGGUUGUGAGAGUGGCAAUGGAGAGAUUAACUAGCUUCCAGUUAACUGUCUUCUAGUUCCCUAAAUGAGCCAUUGGGUCUCAUUUCUCUGUGCCCUCUCUCAGAUUAUUUUCUCUUCUAAAAAGUUGUUUGCUCUUUUUUUGUCCUUGAAAACUAAGCUUGGGUGUCUCCUCUUUAAGAAACCUGUCUUGAGGACCUCUGAUCCCAAAUUUAAUUUACACUGGGUUGGGUAUUCCCAUAAUAUGCUGUCCAUCGUAUUUAUGUGGGCCACGCUGGACUUCACUCGUUGGUUUCCUUGAACAUCUGUCUUCCCUAAAGGAUCGUAAGCAUUUUAGGGGCAAGGACAUGUCUCAUUGGGCAUUGUAGCCCCAGCUUAAGUCAGUGUAACUGGCACUUAGUGACUAUUCAAUAAAACAGCUGCUGAAUAUGUGAUUAAUACUUACGGGAUGACUCAUGGAGUGAUUCCAUUCACAAUCCCUGUGCCAUGCUGUGGCCGUGCUUGGGAAAGCCCCCCAUCCAAGCUCUUUCCUGACUGGAAGAGCUACCCUUGCACCCAGCUAAGAGGUGGUAAUUGCACUGCAGUGUCCUACCUGACAAAGCCCGGUAAUUUCCCCAGGAAACAAGAGAAACCUACGAAAGGAUUUAGUGUUGCAUCUGUGCUUGAUUCCUGAGUGAGUGAAUGAAGGUGAUAAAAAAAAUUUCCUACUGAAAAAAAUGUAAGUGUAAGGUCACCUAAGAUUUGCUUCAUAAAUGACCAGUGGUUUUGUUAUCCACAUAACACUUGGCCAGUGGACAAAAAUAGUUGUUAAAAAAAAGACAUUUAUUUGCUCUUGUAUUUGGUAACUCUGUCUAAAGUUAGUCCUCGUUUAGUAUAUAUGUCCAAAUAUGUUCUAAUUUUCUGUUUAGAAGAAGAGAGGGAAACAGGAAGAUGGACAGUGCCACAAAAUGCAGGAUUUGUAGGUCAUUUAAGGAGUCUGGUCGCACACAAUAGGGAAUAAGAGACUAUCAAAGAUGAACAAAAUUAUUGAUAAACAUUAACUUGUGAACGUCAAAGUUACAAGUAUCUAAUCUUUUGGUUUAUAUUCUGAAAUAAGUAGUUGAGUUUUUUUAACUGUUUAUAUCAUAUAGAAAUUAGUAGUAUUAAAAACUAUUCUAACAAUUUUCACUAAAAAGACCUCUUAGAUUUAGUAUAAAAUUUGGGAAAGUGAAAUCUAUUUGAGAGACUGAAUGUCAGUUGACUGUAUUUGAGAAUCUGAAUAUGAGAGUAAAUGUUUUUCUUUUCCUGCCUGGGUUUUAACUGGUAUGUGCCUUCAUACCCUAAAUGGUGAUAGAUCCUAAGAAGAACAUUCUAAUUUUCAUGCAUAAAAGAUGAAAAAAAUUUUUUUUGUUAAGAAUCAUAGUCUCUCUACUGUUGAUUAUUGUCUCUCGGGUGCCAUCUGGUGGAUUAAAACGAAAAUGCAGUUUUCUGUUUGGGAAUGAGAAGCAAAGAUGAGGUUCUGCUAAGAAAUCAUUAAAGAAUAUGAACUGAACAGGUUGAAGAUUAAUUUUGCUUACACUUUUGAUGUUUGAUUUUCUACCUUAAAUAGGCAUCCUGGGGCCAGAUGUAAUGGAGAGAACACUCUAGAGAACAAAUCCAGGAGAGAACAUGCUCUCCUGGAUUUGGCAGGCUUUGAGUUCUGCUCAGAUUUCUGACAGUAAAUAGCAAGAUGAUUUGCUUUUGUUUUUUCUUUUCUAAAGAGCUUCCAAGUUAAACGACGAGAUUAGCUAUAGAUGGAAAAGAAUCAGAUUGUUCCUGGACUUCUCCGUGGCAAUACUGGGUAGAACAGAAAAGAGAACGAUAUCUUCAGUGUUUCUGAGGGAGAAUUUCUUUCUUUCUCUAGAGUACUCUGCUGAGCCAGGCUCUCUCCUUCAGGUACGAGCAAAAUAAAAGCACUUUCAGACAUACAUGGGUAAGAAAGUUAUCCUUUCGUAUAAGUUCUCUCUAGAAGAGUUACUAAUUUCAAUGUCAUCUUUGUUAGGCCCUGUGUUUCAGUUUAACUUUAGAUAUUUUCCUUUUUGGCUAUUGCAAUUUUGGUGUUCAUGUCUUUUUUUUUUCUUUUUUUGCUUUUUUUUAAACUUGCAUAUCCAUGAUGUCUUCUGACUGGUUGUUUGUAUAGACUGGUUGUUUGUAUAAAUGAAGGCAAUUCAUUUUUGCACACUAAUCUGGUAUCCAUCCGUCUCAUAAGUUCUCAUAUUGUUUACAACUGAUUUUUAACUGAGUUUAUUGGGUUUUGCAGGUAUACAGUUAUCUAUUAAUAGUAAUAAUGUACCACUCUUCCAGUGUUGUUACCUCUUAUAUAUUUCUCUUGUCUAAUUGCAUUGGUUAAGCCUCUAGAGUUAUGCUAAAUAAUAGUGGUGACUGUGGACAUACUUGUCUUGUUGUUGAUUUUAAUGGGAAUACUCCUAGUGUCUCCUCAUUAAACAUAGAUACUGGCUUUUAAGAAAUAUUUAUCUUUCCUAUGUUGUGAAGAUUUAAAAAAUUAAUUAUGGAUGUUGAAAUUCAUCAAAUGCCUUUCCAGCAUAUUUGAAGAAAAUUGUAUACUUUUUCUCCCUUUUAACCUAUUUUAUCAGCCAGAAUUCACCUGCAGAAAAGUGAAAGGGAUUGAAAGGGAUUUAAUACAGGGAAUAAACUGCUUCUGAAUCAGUGGAGAGCUGGAGGUGCAAGCUCCUCUGGGAAUAUCGCCCAAAUCCACACUGUAGACCUGACCCACCAGGAGACCUGGUCCCCCUGCCAUAGUAGGAGGUCACGCCUGCACUCUUAGCUCCAAGAGCACACUGUCUUCGUGUGGUCUGGGAACAAGAAGUUGCUACCAGAAUUCUUACCUGCAGGAACAUACCUUCUUCUCUCUCAUACCUCUGAAUAAGGAAACUGAUGCUAGAAUUGGCAGCGGCAGGGUUUUACUGCGUCUGCCGUGACGUGUCCUGGAAAAAUGUGCCUCACCAAUGUGUCUUCCCCUACUCAGUUGAGUUCUGAAGUGGAAUUUCACACAAAUGCAUCUGAUUAGCAAAA